rnacentral:rRNA from 1 species
UGACCUCAAAUCAGGUAGGAAUACCCGCUGAACU